GGGCAGCAGAUAGGAAACCAUCAAGUGCACAGGAAGAGAAGAGUUUGGGCCUUGCGUGUUAUCAACUUCAGUAGUUUUAUUGAAAGCCUCUUGAUAUUUGAAGUUACAGACUGCUGGGUAAUGAUGAAGGUUUCUUAUGCAACAUCUUAGAUGUGGAUGCAGAGGUAAUCAUGCAAACACAGAUCCCAAGGGUUUUUUAAAAACCUUCUUAAAAAGGGGGCUGCUCCCUUACUGACUGCUGUCUAGAAAAACGGGGCAUCACCUCUCCCUGCUUUGAUACCAACCCACAGGUAUCUGCAGGAAGACACAUCUCAAAUAUGUCAAGAGCAUUCCUACACUCAGACAGCGCUCUUCACAUCUACACUGGUGUCCGGAAGAUGAAGGACAAAGCUAAUGUCCACCUUCUGGCUGAAGAUAUUGGACUACCCAUCCUUUGCACAGUGCCCUAGCUGCUAGAACACAGACCAGCAAUGUGUACAAGAGUGUGAGACUCUCCAUCCUUGCAUGGAGUAAUAACUAGGUAUUUACCAAAAAGGAAGGGGGAAAGCAAGAGAUCUCACAACUCUCCAGGCCUUGCUGCACUGACUGCUUAAUAUAAAUUCCACCUCACAGAAACUGGAAAAAAGCUCCUCUGUUGUGCCAAGUGUGCUGGUCAGUAGGGCUGGUACCAUCUCACGUUCAGUAGGCAGUUAUUUCUCCAUACCACACUGAAGGACAUUGACAGCUUUGCUUCUAUAGAGUCAUGCUGCUAACAGCAGGAUUACUCUGCUGAGUUCAAAUCCCCUCAGGUGCUGAGAGAAGCUAAAGGUCGGACUUUGGCACUUAAGCACACUGUGCUACUUGGCAUGCCAUUGUCUAAAAAGAGCACCAUGCUCUUGUUCUGUUAGCUAUGUUUUAUACCUGUUUUUGAGAGCAGCUGUGAAAUCAAAGCCCCGUGCUUUCCAGAUGACAAGACACUAAGCAGGUAAAGAGGCCCAAGUGCCAGACCGCUCAGUGAUGUCGAGUCAAAAACACGCACAAGCUGCAGAUCAAAUGCAAAUUUUACUGGCAUGAAUUUUAGCUUCUAUAUUCUUUAGUUAUUUCCAAGGCUGGAGCAGCUGCAAGCAUCUAUGAGAAUAAAGAUUUUGGAUCUG